ACUCGAUUUCAAGAAAAACAAAACAGCAAAAAACUAAAUAUUUAUACGACAUGAAUUAAAAUGCACGACUAAGCGGUUGGUGCCAAUCAUGUCUAGAAAAGAUAUUCAAAACCGUCCUAUACUUAAGGGUCCAUACACAAACCACAGGCGCACCUUCCAAAUAUCCCAACAAUAAUAACAUAUAACAAAAGACACCAACAUGACUAACGCCCACGACCACGUCCACGGCCUCGUCCUCUGCCCCGACCACGGCCCACAGGCUUCCCUGCCACAGUUGGCUUCUUGGGCUUGACUCUGGGGGUCUCUUCGACUAGCAGUGUCUCCAAAUUUAAGCUGUCGGGAAGUAUAUAGUAACGAAUAUUAUUGCCUCUCACGCUCAAAUGGUCAAGGGUUACAGGAUUUUUCCCUUUCAGUGUC
rnacentral:lncRNA from 1 species